UGGGGAAUAUUGGACAAUGGGCGCAAGCCUGAUCCAGCCAUGCCGCGUGUGUGAAGAAGGCCUUUUGGUUGUAAAGCACUUUAAGCGAGGAGGAGGCUACUUGGAUUAAUACUCUAGGAUAGUGGACGUUACUCGCAGAAUAAGCACCGGCUAACUCUGUGCCAGCAGCCGCGGUAAUACAGAGGGUGCGAGCGUUAAUCGGAUUUACUGGGCGUAAAGCGUGUGUAGGCGGCUUCUUAAGUCGGAUGUGAAAUCCCUGAGCUUAACUUAGGAAUUGCAUUCGAUACUGGGAAGCUAGAGUAUGGGAGAGGAUGGUAGAAUUCCAGGUGUAGCGGUGAAAUGCGUAGAGAUCUGGAGGAAUACCGAUGGCGAAGGCAGCCAUCUGGCCUAAUACUGACGCUGAGGUACGAAAGCAUGGGGAGCAAACAGG
rnacentral:rRNA from 1 species